rnacentral:rRNA from 1 species
UCGAGAAUUUUUCACAAUGGGGGAAACCCUGAUGGAGCGACGCCGCGUGGGGGAUGAAUGGCUUCGGCCCGUAAACCCCUGUCAUUCGCGAUCAACCGUUGUUAUUUAAAAGAUGACAGCCUGAUAGUAGCGGAAGAGGAAGGGACGGCUAACUCUGUGCCAGCAGCCGCGGUAAUACAGAGGUCCCGAGCGUUGUUCGGAUUCACUGGGCGUAAAGGGUGCGUAGGUGGUGAGGCAAGUCGGAUGUGAAAGCUCGGAGCUCAACUCCGAAAUGGCAUUGGAAACUGCCUUGCUCGAGGAAUGGAGGGGGGACUGGAAUACUUGGUGUAGCAGUGAAAUGCGUAGAUAUCAAGUGGAACACCAGUGGCGAAGGCGAGUCCCUGGACAUCUCCUGACACUGAGGCACGAAAGCUAGGGGAGCAAACAGGAUUAGAUACCCCCGUAGUCC